AUGUCUGGGUUCUGGAGGCGGGCUGGCCUCGCUCAAAGCCUCUUUGUCUCCGUGGCUCUGCCUGUGUCGAUCUGGCUAGGCAUCUGUGUGCCUUUGUGUGUGUGUGUGUGUGUGUGUGUGUGUGUGUGUGUACCUGAGUAUCUUUCUGGGUCUACAUCAUGGUGUGACUGGAGUCUCUGUGUCUCUCCGAUUCGUGGUACGUCAGUGGGUGACAUGACACUAUGUCUAGGACUUGCUUUGGACGUUCCAGCAGCGAGGGAAGGAAAGAAACAGAGAAGACGGAAGAGGAGGAAGAGGAAGAAAAGAGAGCCAGGAGGGAUAGAUGUUCAGUCAUUAGGGAAGCUGGGUGAGGGCCCGGGCUUCAUUACCACCCUGUCUGUUUCUGAUUGCCUUCGAACAUUUCCACAAUCAAAGGUUCCGAAUAAUAAAUUAAAGAGUGAUGAGGCAGGUCACAUGCUUGGCUCGGCUCCUGAUUCAUAGCAAGUAUUCAGUGAACAUCAGCUCUUGUUUCUUCAAGGUGAGUGGGGCUUGGAACACGAAGGUGCGGCAGCAGGUUGGGUGGGGGGGGCGUGCCUAGCAGGUGUGUCCCCAACCCAGAGCCAUGUGCCUGGCCGCCCUGUGUCAGCAGGAACAAGACUGAGAUUUGAGAGCCAGCCUUCAGCCCACAGGACCACACGGCUAGCAAAGCCGUGUAAGUUUGUUUCCAGAACAAUUAGAAUCAAAGGCGGUGGUAAAAAUAACAGCCGCGAGAGGGGAGCCUGGGUGGCUCAGUCAGUUAAGGGUCUACUCUUGAUUGCAGCUCAGGUCAUGAUCUCAUGGUUCCGUGGGUUCGAGCCCCACUUCGGGCUCUGUGCUGACAGCAUGGAGCCAGCCGGGAUUCUCUGUUUCCCUCUCUCUCUGCCCCUCCCCUGCUCUCUCUGUCUCUUUCUAAAGUAAAGAAACAUUUAACAAAUAAAAUAAAAUAAAAUAAAACA
rnacentral:lncRNA from 1 species